rnacentral:sRNA from 1 species
GCUGGGUGUGGUGCUGCAUGCCUGUAAUCCCAGCAGCUCAGGAGGCUGAGGCAGGAGGGUCAAGAGUUCAAAGCCAGCCUCAGCAAUGGUGAGAUGCUUAGCAACUCAGUGAGACCCUGCCUCUA